rnacentral:lncRNA from 1 species
AGAUUAAAAGAGAAGAGUAGUCCCAAAACAAAAAUAACAAGUAUUAAUGAAACAGUAAAUGGUAAGUAUUCGAAUAUAUACUAUUGAUCUAUAUUUGUCCAAUUCUGUUUUUUUAAAGAAUCUAAAAAAAAUGAUGAAAACAACACGUAAUUAAUUUAAUGUGUUCGAAGCUUCAUCAACAACUCUCAAAGCCGAAUAUUUGAAAGCUAAGAAUAUAUAAGAACCGAAACAGUUGAGGAGCAAUAUGACCAAAAGUACCUUCAAAUAGCCAAAUUCAUGGUAAACUUUGCCUCAGGGAAUUGAAAUAUGUUUCUUUAAAAUUCAUAAACUUCGAAACGGUCAAUUGCUGUGUUAUAAAUAAUGUCAGUACUGAAGGACUGACUACUGAGCUGAUGAUAACCUCAGGGACCAUUCGUAUAUAAGAACUCUGGUUUUGAUUAUAAAUCCAUGUAUAAAUACAUUUAUAUAUGUUUUAAAAGCAACAAAUAUUGAAAGGAGAUGUCGGUAUGCACAAAUACCUGGUCAUUUUUAGUCUGAUUUAGGAACUUAAUUUCUAUAAGAAGCAAUCCAUGGAUCAAUAAUUUGGAAGAUGUAAGCUACAGCAUAUUUAAACGUUUCAUUCGAACAGAAAUAUUAUUUUGAUAUCUUUAAUGGUAUUUACAAUCACAAUUGUCGGUGUCAUUGUUGGUCAGAGCUCUAACUGUUGAUGAAAGUUUCGCCCCGAAUAUAUCAUAAAAGACAAAAUGUCCUCAUUAUGUGUUUAUACGAAAUUUAAAUGAUUCAUUCAUUUUAUACAAUUCAACUUUUAAUAAAUGUCAAUUCAUUGGAAACACAAUCGUAGGAAUAUUUUGUACAAAUGAGUUUAAAGUGUACAAUGUCGUACAACGUCGUAAAUUUUAUGAUUUUUGCAUUCCAGCAGUUGAUUUGAGCGCUUCUGAAUAUUUUGUAUAUAGACAUAACACAUUUUAAGCCUGGAAUCUUUUAUUCGUUUAUAUAUUGCCAACGUUAAUUAAUUUGAAUAUUAAUGGUUUUUAUUCUUAAUUCGAAUAUUUUGUUACUUAAUAUACUUUUGAAAUAAGUAUUCCUGAAUUGAUAUUACUUGUAGCUCUUUGCGUAUUCAGGUAUUUAUAUAUAUAUGAAUGUACACACUCUCUCUUGAUUGACAUGUAUAAAAUAAGAUAUGAUAUUACCAACGACACAGCUUACAAGAAAAACCCAACGUAAAGUUGAUUCCAGCAACUUCAGAUCACUGUGAGGUAUAUUAAUCAAUGUAAAGUAAUGAGGCUACUCAGUAUAUUAUUAAAUCAUUGAUUUUAUUUUAUUUUAUUUAGAUCAAGAUUGGUGGUUAUCUGUAUAUCGUGUACUUAUAAUGUUGUCAUUAUUCGUAUCAUUCUUAUUAGGUAAGUAAAAUAAAACACAGACAGAAGUAUGGUUGUGGGUAACUUAAUCUAGCACUCACCUCUUACUAGUCCGGCCGAUCGGUGAAAAAAUUGCUCAAAUAAUGAGGAAAGCACCAGUUUUUGCAUGAUGGUACAUUUUUGUGUACUGAGCAAUAUUAGCUAUGGACCCACCCUCAAAAUUCAAUAUGGCGGCUUAUUUCAAGAUGGCUGCCGUACGUUCUAAAAUAUUUUCCAGUAUUACACAAACCACAGUGGAUUUGAUGCUGGAAGCACAAAAAUCAACAUAUUUGAAUGACUUGGUGUACUUAGCAAGAUUUUGUUUUGAUCUAUCUUUGAAAUACAAAAUGGCGGCUAUUUUCAAAAUGGCCGCCUUAAAAAGGAGCAAAUAUUCAUUAUUGAGAAUUGACCUGAAUAUAAGCAUUUUAUUGAUAUAUAGUGUCAUUUAGUAUCUGUCCUUUUUGAUUUUGCCUUGCUUGUCAUUUCAUACACAAAGUAGUAGCCUUCAUAAAAAGCUGCAGUAGUAGCUUUCAUUAAAAGCUGCACUAUUUGUUGUCUUGGGUCACACAUAAAAGCUGUGAUUUGAGAUAUCAAACUGUGAAUUGAGAAUAAUUUAAACACAUAUCAGUGAAAUGGCAGGAAUUGGGGACAACAAGGACAAGAACAUUGAAAUGGCAGAAAAUUAAUCACUUGGGGAUAUGGAGAAACCCACAGCUGAACUCGGACGCUUUAACAGAGGACAGCUCAGAAAUGACUAUUAAACAAUUGUACCAAGAAUUUUUAGCAGGUAGUAAAUUUAAUGCCCAAAGAACAGCUGAGAUUACCGCAAUAUAAAACAGAGCGAAUCAUCGCGAAUUGAUAAAAUAUGUGUUGGUCUCAUUACGUUUCAAGCUGAACAGAAAGAGGCAAUGCAUAUUAAUAACGAACAGAUGAGAGCAAUAUCUCAGCAACUUCAGCAGUCUGAAGACAGGAUAGACCACAAUAAUUGCUUGGCGGAAUUGAUGGUCAGACCAAUAAGAUAUUCAAUGCUGUUGUGAGACGAAUGGACAAGCUGACAACCUGAGGAAGUAGACACAGUUCAAUUUAAAAGUGCAUUUGAACAGCAGGGUACCUUCCAACAACUGGCAUCUGUUGUAAAUGAAUUAGUGGACAAUCGAAAUAAAGAAGUUAAAAUUCCUGCAAUGGACACAUCAUCUAAGCCAAAAUUUGACCUUAGCCAGUACAACGCAAGUUUACCAAAAGUACACAACAAAAUCCAUGCCUUGGGUCUUUCCCCAAUUAUAGUUCGCAUGAACCAGCAACCGCGCCAACUCUGUUGAAGGUGUCUUCACCUUAAGUCAAAAGUCCUAUGUCAGGGUUUUUGGCCCUGCAUGAAACAGUUCAAAUUAUUCAACAACAAUCUCCAAUUAAGAACAUACUAAAACCCUCUAGUACUUAUCAAGGAUACCAGCAACAGGCUUAUGUGUCGUCUUACGCACACUUACCAUCUACUAUGAGUCAAUAAUAUUUGGUUCAGAGCAGCACACCAUUACAGAAACAAUUGACUGCAAGAGGAUUCCAUCAAGUUUCUCCAAUGCUGAAUGCAGUUCCUACUUACGGUAUCAUCCCCGUCGAGUCAAUGGCAAAUCCCACAUUUAUCACUCCAAUUAUGACAACCUCGUCAGCUCCUGGAACUCUAACAGGCUUCCCAUAACAGCAAGCUGACUCCACUGGCCGGUCCAGGAAAGGGCAGAGGAAACCAAAAGAGUGUGGCAACACCUCUUCUUCAGACUCCUCAUUGGAGAGAGAAUAUACCCGAUGGCAAGAAAAUCUUGGUGCAAGGGACCGGAGACGAAGCCCACAGCUCCCAAAAAUUCAAAAAACUCAAUUGGAGAGGAUCCAUGACUUGGAGGCGUUCAUUUACCAAUUUGAACGAUUUGCCGGUAGAUGACAAUGGGAAAAACAGAAAAAUGUGUGUAGGACCCAUAUUGCAGGCCGAUGUUGGCUUUGAGUACGCUCGCACAGAUGAUGAUUCCAAGGCCUUAAAAAAGCAUUCAUUUGGAGCAGCGCUUCAGCAAGAAAGACGAUCAAACCAGAUUGGAACCGAAGCAUUCCGUCGAGAAUGUAAAGACAAAGAUUCUUCAAGGCAUGUAAUAAAGAGGAACCCAGAAAAUUUCAACAAGGCGUUGAAUCAACUAAAAACCUCAAUAGCAAACCAGAUGGCGAUAUAUGAAUCAAAAAGUGCCAAUUAUAACCAUCGACAAGUCUACUUUGCUGAUGGCGCAGUAUCACCGACCGAUAAAGGAAAUAUGAGCAGACCUUUGGAUAAUGAGGGGCAUAACCUCGCACAAAUUGUCACAAAACUAGCUGAUAUUAUGCUUUCAACUAAUCAGCAUAGCCGUGGAUUGACCGAUCAGUAUAACCUCGGAUCUUCUGAUCAAAUAAUCAUGGAAGAUCACC